ensembl:snRNA U7 U7 small nuclear RNA
AAGUGUUACAGCUCUUUUACUAUUUGUCCAGCAGGGUCUUACUGUGUAGGAGCUCCACU